rnacentral:rRNA from 1 species
AACGAACGCUGGCGGCAUGCCUAACACAUGCAAGUCGAACGAGACCUUCGGGUCUAGUGGCGCACGGGUGCGUAACGCGUGGGAACCUGCCUUUAGGUUCGGAAUAACUCAGAGAAAUUUGAGCUAAUACCGGAUAAUGUCUUCGGACCAAAGAUUUAUCGCCUUUAGAUGGGCCCGCGUAAGAUUAGCUAGUUGGUGGGGUAAAGGCCUACCAAGGCGACGAUCUUUAGCUGGUCUGAGAGGAUGAUCAGCCACACUGGGACUGAGACACGGCCCAGACUCCUACGGGAGGCAGCAGUGGGGAAUAUUGCGCAAAUGGGCGAAAAGCCUGACGCAGCGACGCCGCGUGGGUGAUGAAGGCC